CCUACGGUGUGCAGCAGUCGAGAAUCAUUCACAAUGGGGGAAACCCUGAUGGUGCGACGCCGCGUGGGGGAAUGAAGGUCUUCGGAUUGUACACCCCUGUCAUGUGGGAGCAAAUUAAAAAGAUAGUACCACAAGAGGAAGAGACGGCUAACUCUGUGCCAGCCGCCGCGGUAAUACAGAGGUCUCAAGCGUUGUUCGGAAUCACUGGGCAUAAAGCGUGCGUAGGCUGUUUCGUAAGUCGUGUGUGAAAGUCGCGGGCUCAACCCGCGGACGGCACAUGAUACUGCGAGACUAGAGUAAUGGAGGGGGAACCGGAAUUCUCGGUGUAGCAGUGAAAUGCGUAGAUAUCGAGAGGAACACUCGUGGCGAAGGCGGGUUCCUGGACAUUAACUGACGCUGAGGCACGAAGGCCAGGGGAGCGAAAGGGAUUAGAUACCCGGGUAGUC
rnacentral:rRNA from 1 species